rnacentral:tRNA from 1 species
AAGGUUUUAAGUUAUAAUAAACUAUAAGCCUUCAAAGCUUAAAAUAAAAAAGAAUUUUUAAACCUUGCC